UNCCACGUGUAGCAGUGAAAUGCGUAGAGAUGUGGAGGAAUACCGAUGGCGAAGGCAGCNUCCUGGGAUAACACUGACGUUCAUGCCCGAAAGCGUGGGUAGCAAACAGGAUUAGAUACCCUGGUAGUNCACGCCCUAAACGAUGUCGAUUAGCUGUUGGGCAGCAUGACUGCUUAGUAGCGAAGCUAACGCGUGAAAUCGACCGCCUGGGGAGUACGGUCGCAAGAUUAAAACUCAAAGGAAUUGACGGGGACCCGCACAAGCGGUGGAUGAUGUGGAUUAAUUCGAUGCAACGCGAAGAACCUUACCUGGUCUUGACAUGUACGGAACCCUCCAGAGACGGAGGGGUGCCUUCGGGAGCCGUAACACAGGUGCUGCAUGGCUGUCGUCAGCUCGUGUCGUGAGAUGUUGGGUUAAGUCCCGCAACGAGCGCAACCCUUGUCAUUAGUUGCCAUCAUUAAGUUGGGCACUCUAAUGAGACUGCCGGUGACAAGCCGGAGGAAGGUGGGGAUGACGUCAAGUCCUCAUGGCCCUUAUGACCAGGGCUUCACACGUCAUACAAUGGUCGGUACAGAGGGUAGCCAAGCCGCGAGGUGGAGCCAAUCUCACAAAACCGAUCGUAGUCCGGAUUGCACUCUGCAACUCGAGUGCAUGAAGUCGGAAUCGCUAGUAAUCGCAGGUCAGCAUACUGCGGUGAAUACGUUCCCGGGUCUUGUACACACCGCCCGUCACACCAUGGGAGUGGGGGAUACCAGAAGUA
rnacentral:rRNA from 1 species